UACAUGGGGUGCAAGCGUUACUCGGAAUUACUGGGCGUAAAGCGUGCGUAGGUGGUUCGUUAAGUCUGAUGUGAAAGCCCUGGGCUCAACCUGGGAAUGGCAUUGGAUACUGGCGACCUAGAGUGCGGUAGAGGGGUGUGGAAUUCCCGGUGUAGCAGUGAAAUGCGUAGAGAUCGGGAGGAACACCAGUGGCGAAGGCGGCCAUCUGGAUCAACACUGACGCUGAGGCACGAAAGCGUGGGGAGCAAACAGG
rnacentral:rRNA from 1 species